rnacentral:rRNA from 1 species
GGGUUGUGAGGUUAAGCGACUAAGCGUACACGGUGGAUGCCCUGGCAGUCAGAGGCGAUGAAGGACGUGCUAAUCUGCGAUAAGCGUCGGUGAGGUGAUAUGAACCGUUAUAACCGGCGAUUUCCGAAUGGGGAAACCCAGUGUGUUUCGACACACUAUCAUUAACUGAAUCCAUAGGUUAAUGAGGCGAACCGGGGGAACUGAAACAUCUAAGUACCCCGAGGAAAAGAAAUCAACCGAGAUUCCCCCAGUAGCGGCGAGCGAACGGGGAGGAGCCCAGAGCCUGAAUCAGUGUGUGUGUUAGUGGAAGCGUCUGGAAAGGCGCGCGAUACAGGGUGACAGCCCCGUACACAAAAAUGCACAUAUUGUGAGCUCGAUGAGUAGGGCGGGACACGUGGUAUCCUGUCUGAAUAUGGGGGGACCAUCCUCCAAGGCUAAAUACUCCUGACUGACCGAUAGUGAACCAGUACCGUGAGGGAAAGGCGAAAAGAACCCCGGCGAGGGGAGUGAAAAAGAACCUGAAACCGUGUACGUACAAGCAGUGGGAGCCUCUUAAUGGGGUGACUGCGUACCUUUUGUAUAAUGGGUCAGCGACUUAUAUUCUGUAGCAAGGUUAACCGAAUAGGGGAGCCGAAGGGAAACCGAGUCUUAACUGGGCGUUAAGUUGCAGGGUAUAGACCCGAAACCCGGUGAUCUAGCCAUGGGCAGGUUGAAGGUUGGGUAACACUAACUGGAGGACCGAACCGACUAAUGUUGAAAAAUUAGCGGAUGACUUGUGGCUGGGGGUGAAAGGCCAAUCAAACCGGGAGAUAGCUGGUUCUCCCCGAAAGCUAUUUAGGUAGCGCCUCGUGAAUUCAUCUCCGGGGGUAGAGCACUGUUUCGGCAAGGGGGUCAUCCCGACUUACCAACCCGAUGCAAACUGCGAAUACCGGAGAAUGUUAUCACGGGAGACACACGGCGGGUGCUAACGUCCGUCGUGAAGAGGGAAACAACCCAGACCGCCAGCUAAGGUCCCAAAGUCAUGGUUAAGUGGGAAACGAUGUGGGAAGGCCCAGACAGCCAGGAUGUUGGCUUAGAAGCAGCCAUCAUUUAAAGAAAGCGUAAUAGCUCACUGGUCGAGUCGGCCUGCGCGGAAGAUGUAACGGGGCUAAACCAUGCACCGAAGCUGCGGCAGCGACYCUUAUGRGUUGUUGGGUAGGGGAGCGUUCUGUAAGCCUGUGAAGGUGMSCUGUGAGGSWUGCUGGAGGUAUCAGAAGUGCGAAUGCUGACAUAAGUAACGAUAAAGCGGGUGAAAAGCCCGCUCGCCGGAAGACCAAGGGUUCCUGUCCAACGUUAAUCGGGGCAGGGUGAGUCGACCCCUAAGGCGAGGCCGAAAGGCGUAGUCGAUGGGAAACAGGUUAAUAUUCCUGUACUUGGUGUUACUGCGAAGGGGGGACGGAGAAGGCUAUGUUGGCCGGGCGACGGUUGUCCCGGUUUAAGCGUGUAGGCUGGUUUUCCAGGCAAAUCCGGAAAACCAAGGCUGAGGCGUGAUGACGAGGCACUACGGUGCUGAAGCYACAAAUGCCCUGCUUCCAGGAAAAGCCUCUAAGCAUCAGGUAACAUCAAAUCGUACCCCAAACCGACACAGGUGGUCAGGUAGAGAAUACCAAGGCGCUUGAGAGAACUCGGGUGAAGGAACUAGGCAAAAUGGUGCCGUAACUUCGGGAGAAGGCACGCUGAUAUGUAGGUGAAGCGACUWGCUCGUGGAGCUGAAAUCAGUCGAAGAUACCAGCUGGCUGCAACUGUUUAUUAAAAACACAGCACUGUGCAAACACGAAAGUGGACGUAUACGGUGUGACGCCUGCCCGGUGCCGGAAGGUUAAUUGAUGGGGUUAGCGGRAACGCGAAGCUCUUGAUCGAAGCCCCGGUAAACGGCGGCCGUAACUAUAACGGUCCUAAGGUAGCGAAAUUCCUUGUCGGGUAAGUUCCGACCUGCACGAAUGGCGUAAUGAUGGCCAGGCUGUCUCCACCCGAGACUCAGUGAAAUUGAACUCGCUGUGAAGAUGCAGUGUACCCGCGGCAAGACGGAAAGACCCCGUGAACCUUUACUAUAGCUUGACACUGAACAUUGAGCCUUGAUGUGUAGGAUAGGUGGGAGGCUUUGAAGUGUGGACGCCAGUCUGCAUGGAGCCGYCCUUGAAAUACCACCCUUUAAUGUUUGAUGUUCUAACGUMGGCCCSUAAUCSGGGUUGCGGACAGUGUCUGGUGGGUAGUUUGACUGGGGCGGUCUCCUCCUAAAGAGUAACGGAGGAGCACGAAGGUUGGCUAAUCCUGGUCGGACAUCAGGAGGUUAGUGCAAUGGCAUAAGCCAGCUUGACUGCGAGCGUGACGGCGCGAGCAGGUGCGAAAGCAGGUCAUAGUGAUCCGGUGGUUCUGAAUGGAAGGGCCAUCGCUCAACGGAUAAAAGGUACUCCGGGGAUAACAGGCUGAUACCGCCCAAGAGUUCAUAUCGACGGCGGUGUUUGGCACCUCGAUGUCGGCUCAUCACAUCCUGGGGCUGAAGUAGGUCCCAAGGGUAUGGCUGUUCGCCAUUUAAAGUGGUACGCGAGCUGGGUUUAGAACGUCGUGAGACAGUUCGGUCCCUAUCUGCCGUGGGCGCUGGAGAACUGAGGGGGGCUGCUCCUAGUACGAGAGGACCGGAGUGGACGCAUCACUGGUGUUCGGGUUGUCAUGCCAAUGGCACUGCCCGGUAGCUAAAUGCGGAAGAGAUAAGUGCUGAAAGCAUCUAAGCACGAAACUUGCCCCGAGAUGAGUUCUCCCUGAGACUUAGAGUCUCCUGAAGGAACGUUGAAGACGACGACGUUGAUAGGCCGGGUGUGUAAGCGCAGCGAUGCGUUGAGCUAACCGGUACUAAUGAACCGUGAGGCUUAACCUUACAACGCCGAAG